AAGCUCAGGAGGGAUAGCACCAUGAAUACAUCUUAAUAACUAUCUAUAGCGCUAUCCAUCUUGAGUUUUA